CUGAGGAGCUGCUUGGGAAAAAGGAUGACUGAAGGGGCUGGCAGCCAUUUUAUAACUUUGGAGGCCUACCAAAAUGGACUGAGGGGGGAAACUUCAUUUUAAUUUUGAUAUUUAAUUUUCUUUACCUCACUUUUGUAAUCACUUUUGAGUUUGUGUUAAGUUAAAAUUAUUUUUGUUUUAUUUUGGGUUUUUACUUUUGUUGUUAAAUUAGUAGUUUUUUUCUUAAAUCGGAAG